UCCAGAGAACAAUGAGAAUUUGAUCGUUAUGAAUCAAUCACAAGGUCAGCCAGAGAAAGUUGCAACCUUGAGAGAAUCUUUGCUCUUUCAGAAUAUACUGGCAUCAGAAAUCAGGAGAUUUUGACAGUCAAAGGUCACAGGACCCUGACAAUAGGCAACAUUACUAGGAAAAAUAGCAUUGGUCUUUGGUGAUCUAUGAGACAGAAUUGGAGAUCCAUUCUGAGAUCCAUGAGACAGCUGGCCUCAUGUUCAAAGAAAAGGAUCAUUUUGAGGGGCAUCAUAGACUGACAAUUCCACCAUCUGUUGUCAUUUCAACUAUAUUAUGGGUCCACAUGCUAUCAGUGGCUUGGUAAUCUUAAUUGCCAGCUCACAGAUGCCACCACUAUCCGGAUGCGACGCCAUGAACAGAAGGCAGGCGUGUAAGUUCAGACAUGAAGGCUUUCUCCACCAAUACAAAUCUGGAGUAGAACAGAAUUCCUUCCAAGCAUCGUUGGCUGAAAGAACUGUGUUCUCAUUGAAAGUGAGGAAUAUGGAACCAGCUACUGUCUAAUGACCCUCUGACAUUCCAAUAAAGACCUUUUUGUUGCAGUA